rnacentral:lncRNA from 1 species
GGUGCCUGACAAUUCUUGCUCCAGCCCAGCAAGCCUUUUGGUGAUGGACAAGCAAUACACUGAUCAUCUUGGCAUAGCCCAAAGUUACCACACUUUUCUGGUAAUUGGCAUUGUGUUUCCCAAGAGUCUUUGGAAAACAAAGUAUAGGUCACUUGCCAUGCACUCCAAUCUGCAUUAUCUUCGUAAGUGAGUAUUCUAAGGUUUCCAUCUAUUUCCAACCGAAGAUAAGACAAUGUAGUGUUGUAUUUAGGCCUUCUAAGAGUGAGAGUUCCACCGGAAGAGGACGUAGGACCCUGGUAUUCUAAAGAUAAACCUGAGGUAAAUGUUACAUUAUUCAAAGGGCCCUCCAAUACACUUAAAAGUUCAGAAAAUGAGAAGUAAAGCAAAGAUUUUGGGGAAUUUGGAGAUUUGUAGUACAUGACUAAGGUCUUGUCCUCCAUGACCAAACUAUAAGCACCAUUGGCGUUCUGUUCGUAAGAAGCACGACUCACAAGCUUGGUUGCAGCCCCUAGCUUUAGAGAUUGACCCACUAAAAUGGUAUCAGUUGGGUGAUCAAAACUCUGCCAUAUAAACCGACCCUUAGAGUCAUGAAGAACCAUGUUACCAUUUGAGAGUAACUUGAACCCAACAACGCCUUUAUUGGCAGUGUUGGUUUGCCAAGCAAUCCGGCCAUCAGCAUCGGCCAAAACAAGGUUUCCAUCAGUUCCAAAUGUGAGGGUGGCAUUUUCACCAACUGGGUUGCCACGGUUGGCUUCCCAGACCCAACGCAUAAGUGACCUAGAACUCACUGUACCCAUGCGCAGAGCAAGAGUAUAUGCAUUAGGAGUGGUGUUAUAAAAGCAAAGUUGAAAGGGCUGGGCAAACGGGUCUAAGACUCGGUAAUCGGGACCAUACUCCACAACAUAAUCCCCAAAUUCACCUUCAUUAACAUACUUGAAGGUUGCAGAAGGAGGAACAGAGGCUUGAGCGAUGGCGAAGGAUAAGCAAAGAGAGAGCAAUAGUUGGUGAAGAGAAAACAUUUUGGUUUGCUUGCUAGUUUUUGGGUUUGGUUGGUAUAUAAAAUCAAGGUAGAGAUGUACCCUUUUAUAGGAGAAAUGGAGGAGGAGGUUUUAGCCGGUCAAAUUGACUUGCAAGUUGAACGUGGUGGGACGGUGGUGGGCUUCAUUUAAUUUUAUAUCAUAGAUUUCUCAUAUUUCCGGAAAAAAAGAAAAUCCGGCUGAGUAAUUCUUUUGUCUAAAUUUUGAAUUUUUUUGUUUAAUUAUUUAAAUUCAUUUAUUUUAAUUUAAAUAUUAGUAAAAUAUUUAAUUAUUGCUGUUGCAUGAUGAAUAAGAACAAAGUAUUAUUUUUCUCCUGUCUCUGUUAAUUGUAAUUUAAUAUUAAUUAGUUAUUAUUUUUAUUAUAUAUAAAAAAUUAUAAUUAUCCCCUCUCUUUUCUCCUCGCUCCCACUUGCACCAACCCCUCCCUUUCUCAUCAUUAAUGAGACACAACCACCUGGACCAAUGCAAUUGGACAAAUUGCCAACCAGCUAGCAUGGCGAGCCAAUAGUAUUCAAUUUAAAUAAAAACAUUAAUUAAAUUUAAUUUUUACUUUUUCAAUUUUAUUUUAAAAAUUUUAAUUAUUUCAAUUUAAUUUAAUUUUCAUAAAAAAUUAAUAAAAUUUAACUGAACUUAUUAAUAAAUAAUAAUAUAUUACUUUUAAUGAUUUAAAAAAAUUAAAUCAUAAUUAAAAUUAAAAUAUUUUAAUUAAAUUUUAAAAUAUUAAAAAUAAUAUAUUAAAAAAUUUAAUCGAUUAAAUUAAAUAAAAUUAAAUCAAUUCAAUAUAAAUUAAUUUUCAUUUAAAAUUAUUUUAAUUCAACUUUUACUAUACUAAAAUUUGAUUUUUCACUUAAUUCAGUUGAAUUCACGGAAUGCUUACUCUUAUAUUGCUGAGCAGCUGACGAACAAGCAGUGGUCGCUCAUUGAAAAUCAGUAUUGUGAUGGUAGAUAAUGGUGACUUUUUAAUUUGAUAAAAAAAAAAUAAAAGUUUGAGUGAUUAAACUUAAAAUAUAUUAAAAAGUAAAAUUUUUAAUUAAAAAAAUGGCAAUUGACACAGAUGCAAUUAGAAAAAAAAUAAUGUUUACACUUAUAUAUAUAAUCAUGAAUAAAAAAGUUAAUUUUUUUAGCAUAAAUUAAUUUUAAUAAAAAAAAUUUAUUAUUUAAUUUUAAUAUAAUAAAAAAAUUUAUUAAUUAGUCUUUUAAUUUUAAAAAAUAUAUUAAAAUAUCUAUAAAUUUUUAUUUUAUUAUUUUUAAUAAUUAAUUAUUUUAUUAUUUAAUUUAUAUAGUAUAAAAAAAUUUAAUAAUUGAUAUUUCAAUUUUAUAAAUAUAUUUACUAAUUAAUUUUUAUUAUUUUAAAUAUUUUAAUAAAUACUUAAUAAGAGACUAAUUAAUAUAUUUUAAAAAUAUUUUAACAUAUUUUUUAAAAUUAAAAAAUUAAUUAAUAAAAUUAAAUAGUACUUUUUUCUUUUAAUAAUAUGUAAAUAAGUUUAUAUAUUUUUAUCAGGGAGAGAGCUCAAUUUUGUUCUUAAGCUUUUAGCCACAUAUAAAUCUAAAUAAAUUUAUUAUUUAGAAAAAUAUGAGUUAAUAUUUUAACUUUUUUAUUAAUAAAAUAUUAAAUUGAAAAUUUAAAAUAUUUUAAGGUCAAUUUACAAAUUUAGUAAAAUAAUAAUUGGGAAAAAUUAUUAAUAAAUUGAACAUGAAACCACAAAUAAUAAAAGAAUAAAAAUAAAAUUUUAGAACUCAGUAGUUGACUUGUUCCGUUAUAAACGGCCGACGAUGCAUCGACCAGGGUUGUAAAGCACACAAUGGAUAGAAUAAAAAACGAGAAGCAGUAAUUCACCAAAAUAAAAAAUACUUCAUUCCUCCUCAAAAAUGUAAAUUUUAUUUUAUUUUUACAUGAAUAAAUAAUUAUUAUAUAAUUAAAAUAAUAAAUUUGAUUUACAAUUUUUAAUAUACCUCAGCAUAUAUUAUUUUAUUAAAAUUAAAUAAUUUUUACUAUAAAAUGCUAUUAUUGAAGUUUUUAUUUUUAAAAUUUUUAAAGUAAAAUAAAACUUAUAAAUAAUAAAUUUCGACAUAAAUUUGGUCAAACAAAGAGGGCAGUCUUCGUUGACCAAAGAAAACAAGCAUCACUGUACGUGGACAAUUGGACUAGGGAUGUAAACGGGUAAGGUACCUGCAAAAUUGAGAGUAUCCAAUCCGAUUAUAUAUAUAAUUUUUGAAUCCGUUUUAAAUCCAUUUAAUAUUUUAAUUUUAUUAUCUGAACCCGUCCCAAAUCCAUUUAAUAAUACCUGUAUAAUACCGGAAUCCGAUUUUUUAAAUUUAAUUCAAUGACAAGAGAAAUGUUCAAUGACAAGAACAACAACUCAACAACCCAGCAAAUAAUAAUUUAUAACCAGAUAAUCAAAUUAAUUGUUCAUAAAUUCUAAAAAUCAACAGUAUUACAUUAAUCAAAUAGCAAAUAAUUAAAUUUUUUAAAAGUAUCUAAAUAAUCAAUUCAAUGAUAAAAAUUACCAAAUAAACUAGAAGGAGAAAUGUUCAAUGACAAGAAACAGCAACUCAGCAAACUCAACAAACCCAACAGUAGAAAGUUCCAGUCAAAAAAUUUGAUUGCAAACCUGAAGAAAGUUCCAGUUAAAGGAGAUGUCGCCGACAACAAUUGGGGAGAGGCAAGGGUCCAGCAUAAGUGAAGUGGGGGAAAGAAGCGUCAAUUGAAAAGAGUACAUGUCACCGACCGGAAGAGAGAAGGAGAUAUCGCCGAUGCCGACCGGGGAGAGGGAAGAGUUGUCUCCGACUGGGAAGUGGGAGAUGCCGCCGCUGGAGAGAGAAGGAGAUAUCACUAACUGGGGAGAGAGAAGAUUUAUCGUCAUUGUCGACUGGGGAGAGAAAGGAGACGUCGCCGGUGCCAACUGUCGACACUCGUCAGUGAAGUGGGGGAGAGAGGCCUUGUCUGGGAAGUGGGAGAUGUCGCCGACUGGAGAGAGAGAAGGAGAUAUCGCACUGUAAAGAGAGAAGAUUUAUCGAGGAGAGAAAGGAGACGUUGCCGGUGCCGAUUGGGCUGCCGGCAGUCGUCAUGAAGUGGGGGAGAGGCGUCGACGAAGAGAGAAAAGGGAAGCGAGGGAGAGAGGCGCGCCAACGGAGAGAGGAAAGAAAGAGUAAAAUGAAAAAGGAAAUUAGGGUUAGUUUUGUUAAUAUAGGUAAUCGGGUUUGGGUAAUGGGUAUACGAUCACCUAACCCCGAACCCUACCCGAAUCCGAAACGGGUAAAAUUUUUCAAAUCCGAAUCCGUCCAAAUCUGUUUUGUAAAAAUCCAAAUCUGUCUUAAUAGGAUUUGGGCGGAUCGGGUACCCAUAAAAACCUGACCGCCUGACAUCUCUAAACUGGACAUGGAGACCACCGUCUGAUCCUCAUAAACUCUCUGUCUUUUGUCGUACAAAAAACCGUACGUUUAUUAAUACUAUUUGACAAUUAAUAUUUUUUAAAACAAUUAUUAUUUAAUUUUAUAAUAUAAAAAAAAUUACUAAAAAAUCUAUUAAUUAAUUUUUUUUAUUAAUUUUAAUUAUUAAAAUUUUACAAAAAAUUUAAAAUAUCUGCAUAAAUUAAUUUUUAAAUUUUUAAAAAUACAUAAAUUAAUUAAUAAUUUUUUUAAAAUUAUAAAAUUAAAUAAUAAAAUUAAAAAGUUAUUAUUUAAUUUUUAAAUAUUAUUAUUAUUAAAUUUCUCAUCUGAGUCGAUACUCUCACCUUUUCUUUCUCCUUAAAUUUCAUUUAUAUUUUUUCUUUUUCUAUGGAAGACGAUCUACAUCAAUUGACUAUCGAUAAAAAAGAAAAUAUUAUUAUUCCUAUUAAGGGUUAUAUAAAUAUUUCGAUCGUCACUUAUAAUUUUUAUAUGACAGAUAUAUUUUUCACAUACAAUCUAAUUAAUUUUGAGAAUAUAUAAAUUUUUUUGGUAAAUUUAUAGCGGUAAUCCUCGAACAGUUAAUAUAUCGAAGGAUUUGGUUACUAGUUACAAAUCAAACAUUUUAUUUUUGAUAGAAAUAAAAACUCUUAGUUCUCUUAUGAAAUUUUUUCAUAAAUUUUUACAUUUUGAUGAUUAUUUCUCAGUUAAUAAACAAGAAUUGGGAGGAGAUCUUUCGUUGAUAUGUAAGAGUCGUGUGUUUAUUUCUGUAGUUGAUUUUUCUUCAAAUUUUAUUGAUUCGGUUGUUUCAGAAGGUAAUGUUUAAUGACAGUUUACUAGUUAUUAUAAGUUUCUAAAAUCGCAAUAACAAGGUAAGUUAUUGAACCUUAUUCGAAUUUUAUUUCAUAGAAACUCUCUUAUGUGGUUUUGUUUGGUAGACCUUAAUAAUUUAUACUCGAGAGAUGAGAAAAAAGUAGGAAUAUCUUUAUCAAAUUAUGGGGGUUUAGAUAGACAAUUGAGCAAUAUUUUUCCUAAAUUAUCUGGGCUUGAUUUUGAAUGAUUAUUUAUUUUUGUUAUACUCUAAAACUGAUAUUUCUGUUAAAUAGAUUCGUAAUAAUAAUACUCUAACUACUAGGGGUGAGCAGUAUUCGGUUUAAACCGAAAUAACCGACCGAACCGAUUAAUUUCAAAAUUUUGGUUCGGUUUUAUUUUUUUUCCGGUUCGGUUCGGUUUGAAAUUUUUAAAAAAUCGGUGAUUUCGGUUCGGUUCGGUUUUAGACGUAAAAUUUUCGAUUAGACCGAACCGAACCGAAAUCAACUAUACUACGUCGUUUUAAUAGUUUCCUAUUCCCUAAUUCCCUAUUUCCCUUCCCUUCCCUUCCCUGCCCUAAAUCUAAAACAAAUUUCUAUCUCUUCGUGCGUGCCACCAAGGCUCCUCUCAUCUCUAUGCUCUGCUCCAUCUGCUCCAUCUCUCAUCUCCAUCUGCUCCAUCUCUCUCUCUGUGCUCUGCUCCAUCUCUCAUCUCGCCACGAGAUUCUCGCGCCUGUGCCUCCACUCUCCUCUCGAUUGGACUGAUUCACCAUCGGCGUCGGCCGUUGCUCUCUAUCGGCUCUCCACGCGUCGUCGGGCAGUCAACAAUCUCUCAUCUCUAUGCUCUGCUCCAUCUCUCAUCUCGCCGCGAGAUUCUCGCACCUGUGCCUCCACUCUCCUCUCAACUGAACUGAUUCACCAUCGGCAUCGGUCGUUGUACUCUAUCGGCUCUCCACGCGUCGUCGGACAGUCGGCAAGUGCUUAUUCCACAGCCCUCAGUCAGUAAGUGUUAUUUUGGCAAGUGUUAUUUGCUGUUGAUUGUUGAAUUUGUGUGUUGAAUUUGUGUGCUGUGAUUGUUCUUUUUACUCUUUUUAGAUUUAAUUUUAGAACACUAAAAAUCAAUCUAAAAAGAGUAAAAAGAAUAAUGAAAAGUUUGAAAAUCGGUUUAACGGAUCGAACCGACUGAACCGAAUCGAACUGAACCAAAUCGGUUUGAUUCAGUUAUCUCUCUUAUUCGGUUCGGUUCGAUUUAUGUAAAAUACUGCAAUUCGAUUUUUAGUUAUUUCGGUUCGGUUUGAUUUUGAACCGAACCGACCGAAUGCUCAUCCUUACUAACUACUCAUAUUUUACCUACAUAAUUUAUCUCUCUCCUUGAAAUGAUAUCUUUCAUUAUUUAAUAAAAUUUUAAUAAUACAAUCAGCUUUAUUUUAAAAAAAAUUAAAUAAUAAAAUUUUUAACUAUAAAAUUAAUAAAAAAAUAAUUAACAAAAUUUUGGGUUAACUGUCAAAAUUCAUACUCCAUUUAAGCUAUUAUAACAUAUAUAUAUAUAAUAAUUUAAAAUAAAUUAAAUGUAUUAAAUUUUAUUUUUCCAUAAAUUAUAAAUAUAAUUUAUUAUUACUAAUUGAAUAUGAAAACUCAGCUGGUGAGGUGGCAGUCAUAUUCAUAUAAAGAUUUUCCUCAGGGACACAUUGUGGUGGGGCCAUCUUAAUGUCUUAUCCCCAAAUUAUUGGCGGAGGCGGCUAAAGGAUUUUCAUGCAUCCUUAUCCUCGAGAAUGCAUUAUCUGUCCUGGAAAGAUGGUUUUAACCUAUUCUUUUUUUUUUUUUUUUGAAAAAAAAAAAAUAAAAAGCAAUCUCAAAUUUUUUCCCCCUCAAAUUUUAAUGAUUAUAUUUAAUUUUAUACAUUUAAAUUUUUUUUACCCGAAUUAUAAAAAUAUUUUGAUUUAGAUCAAUUUACCCAUUUUUAAUUUAAAAUAUCAAAAUACCGAUUUUAAAUUUUCAAUAGUAAAAUAUUAAUAUUACAUUUUGAUAUUAAAAUUAUUUAUUAUUAUAAUCAAUAUAAUAAAAAUAAAAAUUAAAUUUUAAUAUCAAAAUAUAAAUUAAUAUUCUAGUAUUAAAGUUGAAAAACUAAUAAUUUUUUUAAAAAAGAUAAAUUUAAUUUUAAAUCAAAAUGUUCUAAUAAAUUGAAUAAAAAAUUAAUUUUAAAUGAAAUUAAAUGAAACUAUACUAUGAUUACUAUGGCAGCCACUCUAACUAAUGAUUAAGUUAAUAUACUGAAAAAAUAGAGAAAAUAUAAUAGAUUGCUUAAAAAUUAAAUAAUAUUAUAAAAUAGUAAAUAUUUAUCUUUGUGAUUCUUUUUUUUUAUAUUAUAAGAACGUAGGGAUAAACUUGAUAUUUUUUGAUAAAUUGACGAUGAUGUGACCGACUACUUAAUAAGAGAUAUUGUUUGCUAAUGAGUGAGAAAUUUUGCGAUAACAGACGUAAUGGGAAUACGGUGCACUGUUUCUGUUUAUUGGUAACUUUGUAUUAAGUCUCGCCCUGUCGAGGGAAGGGUGAGUCUUGGAUGAUGAAUCAGGUGUUUAGGGCAUUCGGAUCUUCCAUUCUUUGCGCUGGACCAUGUUUCUCACUUAUCAUAUCAUUGUUACGUAUUCCAGUCUCGUGGUAAUAGCUCAUGACUUAUUUUAAGCGAUUGUUAUGUAGCAUCAAAGAUCCCCGUUUGUAUUCGACUCUUAAGAUUCGAAGGAGAUAGUUGUUCUCAAGGUCUGGGGCACGUGGCCUCCUGAGAUUGGUUUUUGCUGCUCACGCCAUUUCGUCCAUUUAGCCCCUCAAUGAUGAUCGCACUGCUUAUCAUGUCGUAUUUAAAAUCUGGCAUCAAAAUCGUCUUAUAAAAGCCCUUAUUCUUUCCCAAAUAUCGUUUUUGUAAUACCCGGCUAGACUCCGACGUCGGAAUUCCAACCUUUUGACGGAAUCCCCAUUGGAAUCCGGAAUCUCGGAUGUCGGAACCUCUUAGAAGGGUAAAAUAAGUUUUUCACAAAAUGAAUUUUAUGGUUUUACUUUUUGUUUUUGUAUUAAAGAAUUUUAAGAAGAAAGAAAAGAUUUUUUGAAGAAAAAUGCUUUGGAGGGGAAAAAUCAGGUUCGGCCGUUGAACCUUCAUGCUCGGCCGCCGAACAUGGUGCUGCCGCGGGAGCUCUCCUUUCGGCCCCUGAAGGUGGUCUGGCCAGCCAUCUAUAAGAGGCCUCCAGUCCGAAAAUGAGAGAGUUUCUCUCUCCAUUUUCGGGCAAAGGUGAGUUCUUGCCCUCUCAUUAUUGAUUUUGUUAUUUUUCCUUCAAAUCCUUCAAAAUAUUCAUGAGUUUUCCCUCGUUUUUGAAGAUUUGAGCUUAAAUAUGAGUUUUGAACCUUGGAGACCUCUGGAGACCGUUUGAACUCAUCUCCACUGUAAUACCCGGCUAGAUUCCGGCAUCGGAAUCCCUACCUUCGGGCGGAAUCUCCGUUGAAAUCUGGAAUUCUGAAGAUGCCAGAGUCUUCUAGAAAGGUAAAGUGUGUUUUUUAAAAUGUUUUCACAUGAUUUUAUGGUUUUAAAUGAAAAAGAAAUGAGUUUUGAAAAGAAUAGGCCAAGGAGGAAGGACCCAGGUUCGGCCGCCGAACAUGGGGCUGUUUCGGAAGUGCUUUAGGCCUCCGAAGGCUUUGAGGGCAGAAACCAGGUUCGGCCGCCGAAUCUCAAGUUCGGCUGCUGAACAUGGGAUAGUUUAGGGGGCACGUUAGGCCGCCGAAGGUGGUUGACCGGCCACCUAUAAAAGGCCCCUCAGACCGAAAGUGGGCGAGUUUUCUCUCCAUUUUUGAGCUAAGGUGAGUUCAUGUUCUCCUUUGGUCGAUUUCAUGUUCUUUCUUCAAAUCUUUCAAGUUUUAACAAGUUUUAGCUUGGGUUUUGAAGUUGUGAGCUCAAGAUCAAGUUUUGGGAGCUUGGAGACCCAAAGAGUUGUUUUCUCCCAUCUCCAAGUUAGGGAUCGCACCAACCCUCGAUCUUCAAGAGGUAAGUGUAGAUCCACGCCUUUUUCUUUGUUUUAAGCAAGUUUUAAGAAGUUUUGAUGCUUGUGUGAGGGUAGAUGUGCAUGUUUAGGUUUAUGUGGGUUUAUGCUCAAUGUAUGUUUAUAUGAUGUUUUGUUGGGAGGUUUAAGCUAGUUUAUGCCCUAUUUGCAUGAGGGAGUGUGUAUGCAUGUUUGGGAGAGAGCAUGUGAGGUUUUCAGUUGUUUUGGAAGGUUUGGAGGCUGUUUGUGCAUGAGGAGGCUGAGUUCUGCCCUUCGGGAAGAACUCAGGUUCGGCCGCCGAACCUGCCUGUGGUGGCUUGUUUUGGCUGCCGAACCCUGCCCUCGAAAGUUGGACUUUCGGCUCUGGAGGGGAGUUUCGGCCGCUGAAGGUGCCGCCGAACAUGCACGAGUUUCGGCUCUGGAACCACUUUCGGCAGCCGAAGGUGUCGCCGAAAGUGGCUGAGUUUCGGCUCUGGAGGGACUUUCGGCCGCGGAACCUGCCGCCGAAAGUGCCCUGUUCAGCCUUCUUUUGCAUGAUUUCUAUGGUUGUUUUAUGAUGUUUUAGGGGAUUUUCGGGGAAAUGUUUAGAGUCCUAUUAGAGUAUGUUUGGUCCCUCAUUUGAGUCCACCUGUGUAGGAACGGACCUGAGGAACUGAGGUGUUCGGCAGUGAGUUAGCUGCUUCAGAGUUAGUAAGCGUCAGCCAGAGGUGAGUGGAACUGAACCUUAUGUUUAAAAAUAUAAAUCAAAUGUUUUAAGCAUACUCAUGCAUCAUGAAUACCAUGUUAUGUAAUAGGUUGUUUACAUUAGAAUUCACGAAUAUGAUGCAUUGCAUAAUAUGAUGAUGAUGAUGUGGAUGAAUAUUGAAUGAUCCUCUAGCUCUCUGUACGGUACGAUAUGAUAUGAUAUGACAUGAGAUAGAUAGGCCAGACGUGGCUGUAUUGCCCUUGGCAAUAUGUUAUGAUAUGAGCUAUGCAAGAGAAGACCAGGUGAGGCUGUAUCGCCCCUGGUAUAGUCGGACGUGUUAUGAUAUGAGCUAUGUAAGAGAAGACCAAGUGAGGCCGUAUCGCCCCUGGCAUAGUUGGACGAGUUAUGAUAUGAGAUUGUGGAGGGCUAGUGGUGACAAGUUCAUCCUUAAUGUGUAUUGUUUGUGAUGUGAUGCAUUCCAUGAUGGCAUAUUUUUAUGAGUUGUUUUCACUGUUCUGCUCACUGGGCUUUAUAGCUCACCCCUCUCUCCUAACCCCAGGUUUGUAGGGACAGAGUUAGUUCAGAAGUUCAGCAGGUUAUGGCUAUGGUUAUAUUUUGUAAUAGGAUAGUAGUGGACAUGAUGUAAUGUAAAAUCAUGUAAUGAUGUAAGAGCAUGUAUUGUAAUGUAAGGAUAUGUAAUGGCAUGUCUUGGUUAGAGUUGUGCUUUGCCCUAGUUAUGUAUGGUUAAUCCUUUUGAUACAUGAUAGUAUGUUAAUGUUUAAAUGAUGAUGAUUAUGCAAACCAAGCUUAAUGUAUGAUAUGUUGACCCAACUGGAGCAUUUGAUGAGGGCUCCAGUAAGGGGUUUUAUGUUACAGCUUUUGUGCAUGCACAGGUUAAGCUUGGAAAAUGAAAGGAAAAGUUUAAAGUUUUUAUGUAUAUGUAUGGUCAUGUAUGGGAUUAACAGGUGUACAGGAUGCAUGUUAGGCUUGCUACGGGUCCCGGCGGCCUUAUGCCGAUCUGGAUUCCUAGCGCCGGUAGCGGUCCGGUUUUCGGGUCGUUACAUCCACGUUGGGGUUGCUGUCACUCCUAGAUCUCUAAGAGGUAAGCCUACAUCAUUGCUUUCCUUAUGUUUUAAAUGAGUUUUAAGAAGGGGUAAAAGGCUAAAAAUGCAUAAAAUGGGUAGAUCUAUAGUUUUUGAGUUGUGUUAGUUUUGUUGAUAAAAGUUUGCUCUUAUGAGUUUUUAUGGUUGUUUCUUUGGGAUUUAGGCUAGUUUUUGUGCCCUUAUGCUUGAUGAGUGAGUAUGCAUGUUUUGAUGAGUUGGGUGUGAGGAUUUGAGAGUUUUGGGUGGCUGAAUGCAUAGGGCAGAAUCGGGUUCUACCUAGUUGGAGAACCCAGGUUCGGCCAUCGACCCUGUAUGGGAGGCAGCCUUUUGGCCGCCUAACCUGCCCCUGAAAGCAUGGACUUUCGGAUCUGUGAAGGGGUUUCACCGCCGAACCCGCUCCUGAAAGUCCCUGACUUUCGGAUCUGUAUGGAGUUUAGGCCGCUGAACCUGCCCCCAAAAGUCCCUGACUUUCGGAUCUGUGAGGGACCUUCGGUCGCCGAACCUGCCGCUGAAAGGCCCCUGCCCAGUCUUCCUUUGCUUGUUUCCUAUGCAUGUUUUGGUAGGUUUUAGGGGGGGGGGUUUGGGAAGUUGUUUAGAGUCUUGUAAUAGUUAUGCUUGGUCCCUCAUUUGAGUCCAUUUGUGUAGGAUCGGACCAAGGAGACCGUAGAGGCCUGCAGUGAGGUAACUGCACCAGUGUUAGGCAAGCGUCAGCCAGAGGUGAGUAGAACUGAACUAUCUUUUCAAAAUAACUAAACUUUUAAGCAUGUUCAUGCAUCACGAAUGCCAUGUAUAUGUAUUAGGAUGUUGCAUUAGAAUUCACGAAUAUGAUGCAUUGCAUAAUUUAUUGUUGAUGUGGAUGGAUAUUGGAUGACCCACUAGCCCUCGAGAUGUUAUGAUAUGAUAUGAUAUGAUACGGAAAGACUAGGGCUGCCCAUUCUACGCCCCUGACACGAUGUAAGAGAAAGACCAGGGCUGCUCAUUCUAUACCCCUGGCAUUAUGGAUAUAUUAUGUUAUGUUUAAGCGAAAGUCCUGAGGGGCUCAGUUGAGGGCCGGACACAUUGGAUUAUGUAGAGGGUUACUGGUGACAAGUCCAUCUUGAUGUGAAUUGUUUGUGUUGUGACGCAUUUCAUAUGAGCAUAUGUUUAUUAAACUAUUUUUAUAUUCUACUCACUAGACUCUUGUAGCUUAUCCCUUUCUCCUAACCCCAGGUUUGCAGGGUCGAAGAUAGCUCGGGAAGCCGGCAUAGUAGCUGGUAUAGUUUAAUGUAAUAGAAUAGUUGUGGACAUGUAAAAAUUUAAUGGAUUAGUAUUGUGCUUGGCCCUAGUUUUCUUUACCUUGUAAUCCCUGUUAACAUGGUCUUUAUGUAAAAGUUUUAAUUAUGAUUUAUGUUUGAACUAAGCUUGAGGCAUGUGAUGUUAACCAUACUAGAGCAUUUGAUGAGAGCUCUAGUAUGAGUUUUAUGUUUUCAGUAUGAUACAUGCACAGAUUGAGCUUGGUUUCAUGAAAUGUUUAAGUUUUUGUUAUAAUGUAUGAUCAUAUAUGGGAUUUUAUCACGUACACAGGAUGUAUAGUAGGCUUGCUACAGGUUCUAGCGACCUUAAGUCAAUCUGAAUUCUAGCGUCGGUAGCGGUCCAAUUUCCUGGUCGUUACAGUUUUUGCUAUCUCCUGUGAUCCUUUGUUUUCAGAAAAACUCGUUCACUACUUUUUUUUUUACUUAUACUCCUUACAAUAAUUUUUGUUUCUUUUUUUUUUUCUUGGUAUGAACAAGAUUACUUCUUCCCUUUCCCUUAACAAGGUUCUACCUCUAGCUCCUCUUUCGAUAGCCCUAUCCGUACCCCAGCCUCUGUUGUUCCAUUGAGGGAGGUUCUGAAAAACGAGGUCGACCUGAUUAGUGAUACUUUAUCUGUCCUUUUGGAGCGUAAUGUAGACUGUCUCUAUGAUACCUAUUAAAUUCCUCAAAAGGUUUUCUGUGUCUUUGCUCUUUCUCUACGCAUCCGUGUGAGUGAUUUGAUUUUGCAGAGUAUACUAUUAUGGUCUUUGAGAAGCAAUUAAAGACAGGUCUUUUUUGAUUCCUUAUGGACCUAUUUUUUAUGGAUGUUCUUUGGUUUUAUAAACUUUCGAUUGCCGAACUGUAUUCUAAUAGCUGAAAAAUUCUAAUGGCUUUUCAGUUCGUUUGCCUAAAUAACCACAUCGAACCAAGUGUAACAUUUUUCUCUCAACUCUAUCAACUAGAUAUCUACAAAAGUGAAAAAUUUUGAUAUUUUAACGGACAAAACCACAUUACCUAUUUGAUAUGGUAUCCCACCUUAACGUGGAGGAAAAAUAGAUAUUUUGUCCUUUGCCACUCGACGCUAGAGGGUUUUGACCAUAUUUUACAAAAUAGAUUUUUGGUAUUUCUUAAAGUCGUUUUGUAAUUAUCUCUCAAUAUCUUAGAAAUGCAACUUUACAAUUAUAUGAUAAAAAAAAUUAUACAUGAGGUAUAUACGUAUUAUUUCAUAAAGGUAUAAUCAAUUUAAGAAGAAUAAAUUAAAAUAAAAUAAUAAAAAUUAUUUUUAUAUCGUUGACGUCGAAGAAGAAUCCAUGGAUUACGAACAAAGAAAACAAAAACCACUGUGGAUAUUAAGACCACCCUCAGAUCAUCACAAAUUCUGUCUUUUAACGUACAAAAAAUAUUAAGUUUGUCAAUAUUUGACAAUUAAGUUAUUUUUUCUUUUCAAAAAUUAUUUUUUAUAAUUUAAAAUUUUUAUUAAAACCUAUAUAUAAAUUUAUUGAUAUAUUUUAUUUUUUCACAAACAAGUGGAGUUUUAAAAUAAUUAUUAUCCAUAUUAAUAAUAUAUUAAUUAAUAAUAUAUAGUGAUUUAAAAUAAAUUUAAAAUUAUUACUAUUUGAAAAUAUUAUAAUUUUUUAUUAAAUUUUAAAAUUAAUAUUUUUAUUAAAUAAAUUUAUCAUAGUUAUUUUAAUUGUUCAUAUUUUAACUAUAAAAUUUAUUAAAUAUAAUUAACUUUCAAUUUUAAAAUGAAAUCUCUUUUUAUUUUUAUUAAAAAAAUAUUAAUAUUUUAAUAAAAUUAUUAUAUAUUUUAUUAUUAUUGAUGGAGUAUAAUUAAAGUUUUUGUUUGUAUUCAUAUAAUAAUUUUGAGGAUAGAGAUAUCACGUGGACUAUCUCAGUAUCGUUUCAGUAAAUAAUUGGUGGAGGCGUAAGGGACUUGCAUGCAUGAAUUCUUAUACUUAAUUAAGCCUGCAUAUUUGUUUUGGAAAGAUGAUUUUGACCUUUUAUUUUUAUAUAAUUAUAUAGAAAAAUAUUUAUUUUGGCUACACAGAAUCUUAUGUAACAAGUAACAUAUUAUUAAAAUCAAAUCAAUUGCAUUAAUUUAUUCGUAAAAUCCCACACCUUAACAUAAAACAAAAAACCAGCUAAAAAAUACAUAAAAUUACAAAAAAAAAAANNNNNNNNNNNNNNNNNNNNNNNNNAAAAAAAAAAACUUGUCACAUUCUUUCUUAUCAUUCCCUUUAUUGUUCAUACUUGCAUAUAAAAUCUUCAAUCCAAGCUGAAAAUACCCACCUCGAAAAUCACUUAUUUGGCGUCUUAAUGAAUGCCAAAUGUGUAGAAUUAUCAACUUUUGUUAAGGUUUUGAGAUCGUAGGCAAUCCAGCAUUUAGAUGAUUGUGUGUGGUAAAAAUAAGCCAAGCACUUGCAAUCCUUGCUGCAUUUGCUGCUACAAGCAUUCUGCUUCAUCGGUCCAUCUCCAUUUGUGUACUUGGAAUUGAAAUGAUCAACCCCUUCUAGUUUAUAGUAGUAAAAAUCUUUCACUCCACAUGAAGACAGCUUUGGUGCCUGACAAUUCUUGCUCCAGCCCAGCAAGCCUUUUGGUGAUGGACAAGCAAUACACUGAUCAUCUUGGCAUAGCCCAAAGUUACCACACUUUUCUGGUAAUUGGCAUUGUGUUUCCCAAGAGUCUUUGGAAAACAAAGUAUAGGUCACUUGCCAUGCACUCCAAUCUGCAUUAUCUUCGUAAGUGUGUAUUCUAAGGUUUCCAUCUAUUUCCAACCGAAGAUAAGACAAUGUAGUGUUGUAUUUAGGCCUUCUAAGAGUGAGAGUUCCACCGGAAGAGGACGUAGGACCCUGGUAUUCUAAAGAUAAACCUGAGAUAAAUGUUACAUGAUUCAAAGGGCCCUCCAAUACACUUAAAAGUUCAGAAAAUGAGAAGUAAAGCAAAGAUUUUGGGGAAUUUGGAGAUUUGUAGUACAUGGCUAAGGUCUUGUCCUCCAUGACCAAACUAUAAGCACCAUUGGCGUUCUGUUUUUCAGAAGCACGACUCACAAGCUUGUUUGCAGCCCCUAGCUUUAGAGAUUGACCCACUAAAAGGGUAUCAGUUGGGUGAUCAAAACUCUGCCAUAUAAACCGACCCUUAGAGUCAUGAAGAACCAUGUUACCAUUUGAGAGUAACUUGAACCCAACAACGCCUUUAUUGGCAGUGUUGGUUUGCCAAGCAAUCCGGCCAUCAGCAUCGGCCAAAACAAGGUUUCCAUCAGUUCCAAAUGUGAGGGUGGCAUUUUCACCAACUGGGUUGCCACGGUUGGCUUCCCAAACCCAACGCAUAAGUGACUCAGACCUCACUGUACCCAUGCGCAGAGCAAGAGUAUAUGCAUUAGGAGUGGUGUUAUAAAAGCAAAGUUGAAAGGGCUGGGCAAAGGGGUCUAAGACUCGGUAAUUGGCACCAUACUCCACAAUAUAAUCCCCAAAUUCACCUUCAUUGACAUACUUGAAGGUUGCAGAAGGAGGAACAGAGGCUUGAGCGAUGGCGAAGGAUAAGCAAAGUGAGAGCAAUAGUUGGUGAAGAGAAAACAUUUUGGUUUGCUUGCUAGUUUUUGGGUUUGGUUGGUAUAUAAAAUCAAGGUAGAGAUGUACUCUUUUAUAGGAGAAAUGGAGGAGGAGGUUUUAGCCGGUCAAAUUGAAUUGCAAGUUGAACGUGGUGGGCUUCAUUUAAUUUUUUUAAAAUGCCUUUCUGUUUAUGUUGAUUUUGUUUAUAUUAAUUUUAUAUGAUCUUAUCUCUAAGCUUUAAUAAAGUUAUAAAAUAAUAUUAUAUCUUCAGGUUAAGAGAAGUUAUUGUAAAAAAUAUCAUAUAAAGAUGAACAGAAUUGGGGAGCGUAUAAAGAAUCAAGACUUUUCUAGAAUCGCACAGCUUGGAUUUUCUUGGACGCAUAUAAUUAUAGAUGGCUUCCCACUCUGGUUUUGGGUCAAACACUGAGUUCUGUCCAUAUCGACGUCUUUGAAUCCAUUCUUCAAGAGCCCACAAUAAAUUUUAUUCUUUAAUAAAUAUAUUUUUUAUAAAAAUUUCACACUGAUAUCGUAUUAUAUGAAAAAUUUUAAAUAUCAAUCGUUAUACUUACAGAUAAAAGCGAAUAAUUUUAUUGAUUUAAGCUGUUUUUAUUUAUAGAAAAUAAUUUAUAUUUUAAAAAUAUUUUUUAUAAAAAUAUUUUUCAAUAAUGUUAUUAUUAUUUAAUUUUAAUUUAAACAAUAAAAUAUAUUAUUAAAUUUAUAUCACGACUAUUAAAAAAGUUUUCAAAGUUAAAACGUUUACAGGUUGAUUUAAGUAUACAUUAAAUAUAAUAAUAAUAAACUAAAACUCAUAAAAUAUUAAUUCAAGGAAAGAAAAUGAAUUAAAAUAUUUCUUUUAAACACGUAUAUAGGUCAACAUAUCACGUUACGCUCCAUAUAAUGAUUUCGCUCCGUAAAAUUGUGAUUAUAUAUAUAAUAUUUAUAUUAAAUUAAAAUUAAAUUUUAUUAAUAUUGAGUCAAUUUGUUAAAAUAUUUUUAAUAAAUAUUUAUUUUAUUUAUGAAAAUAAAAUUUUUAAAUUCAUUUAAACAAAAUAUUAAGUCAUUAAUUUCAACAUCUAUUGAUUAUAAAAUUGUGAAUUUUAAUUUAAGGAUACGGUAUUUUUUCUGAAAGUAGAUGUCAUGCUUAUGACAUUUAAUGUAAGAUGUCCUGCUUAUGCCACUGAAUGUAAGACUGCAUAUUUUCAUGUUUUAAUUUUUUAUAAAUUUAUUCAAAAAAAACUUAUAAUAUAAUUAUUUUAUAUAGAACCAAUUUCAUAUACAUCGCAUCAUAAUUAAUAAUUAAUAUGUAACCAUGCUGCUUUAAAUAUGUUUCGUAUUUGAGUGGAUUGAGAGAUUUUAAAUUUUAUUUUUUUUAAUUUUUAAUUUUUAUUAAAAAAAAUAUUACAUAUAAUUUUUUUAAAAAAAAAUUCAUGUAUAGUUAGAGUUUAAUCUAUAUUUUAAAUUUUAAAAUUUAAAUUUAAUUAAGAAUGAUAUUGGAUUUUGCUUUGAAAUAUUAACAAUUAAAAGUUUACCAAAAAUUUAAAAUUUUCUAAAAUAGCAAAUCAGAAACGUAUGGUCAAGUUUAACAUAAUUUGAUAAAAAACAGUUAAAAUUUAAUUGUGAUCUUUUUAUAUAUAUAUAAAAAAAAAAAUUGAUGCAAAUUGGCGAAGGGAGGACAAGCUCUGAAGAAACAAAAUUAUGACGGUGUAUUUGGGUUGAAACUAAGAGCAAGGCCUUUUAGAUUUGAGGGGAAAAAGAUAAAAUCAAAGGGUGGUAAACAAUUUUGUUUGGGAAUUUAUUGUUCAUCUAUUUUUUCUUUUUACCAAAUGCAGUUGAUAUUAUAUUUUUCUAAAGCAGUAACACACUCAGUCCAGCUCAAAACACAGUGAGAUAGAGAUCCAACCCAGAUAAUGCAGUCCAGACCAUCAAAAGAUUCUUGGAGUUCCAAGCAAGCAUCACCAAUAAUCCCUGCAACCCCUCGCUCCUAACACCGCCUACAAGCACCAUCAAAAUCAACAAGCAUCGUCAAAGCCGCUAAACUGUUGAAGACCAGAACAACAACACCUAAAGGACCCAUCCACACUAACAAAUAGGCUCAAAAUCAUUGCAUAUCAAGCCAAACAAUCCACAAUCAAUAGUCAGUUUAUAAUUUAUUACAAUAUAAAAAGAAAAAUAGAUAAUAUUUUAAAAUAAUUACAAAAAUGAUGAAUAAAAAAUUAUGAGACAAAUAGAAUAAUUAAUAAAGUAAUUUAUAAUUUUUAUCUACUAUAUAUUAAAAAAUUGGUGUAUUUUAGUCAUAUAUCAAUUUUUUUUCCAAAUAUAGAUAAUAGAUUUUAUAUAUUUACGAGAAAUUAUAUAUUCUUGAAAAUUUUACCCAUUUUUUUUUCUUGAAAAUAAAUGCAGCUAUACAUUCUUCCGUGAAAAUGCUAAAAACAGAAAAAUUUACUGGCUUUGGAGGUAAAUAUUAGAAAUUACUUGCCAUAUUCUUCCUUAUCCUUCCAUUUAUUGUUCAUACUUACAUAUAUAACCUUAAGACCGAGCUAAAUAUACACGCCCCUAAAAUCACUUGUUCGGCGUUUUAAUGAAGCCCAAAUGUGUAGAAUUAUUAACCUUUGUCAAGGUUUUGAGAUCAUAGGCAAUCCAGCACUUGAAUGACUGGGUGUGGUAGAAAUAACCCAAACACUUGCAAUCCUUAGUGCAUUUGCUGCUACAAGCAUUCAGCUUCAUAGGUCCAUCUCCAUUUGUGUAUUUGGAAUUGAAAUGAUCAAUCCCUUCUAGUUUGUCGUAGUGAAAAUCUUUCACUCUACAUGAAGAUAUUUUUGGUGGCCUGCAGUUCUUGCUCCAGCCCAGCAAGCCUUUUGGUGAUGGACAAGCAACACACUGAUCAUACUGGCAUAGCCCAAAGUUUCCGCACCUUUCUGGCAAUUGGCAUUCUGUUUCCCAAGAGUCUUUAGAAAAUAGAGUGUAGGUUACUUGCCAAGCACUCCAAUCUGCAUCGUCUUCAUAAGUGUGUAUCUUAAGGUUUCCAUCUAUUUCCAACCGAAGAUAAGACAAUGAGGUAUCGUAUUUAGGCCUUCUAAGAGUGAGAGUUCCACCAGAAGAGGACUUAGAACCCUGGUAUUCUAAAGAUAAACCUGAGAUAAAUGUUACACGAUUCAAAGGACCCUCUAAUAUACUUAAAAGAUCAGAAAAUGAGAAGUAAAGCAAAGAUUUUGGGGAAUUUGGAGAUUUGUAGUACAUGGCUAAGGUCUUGUCCUCCAUGACCAAACUAUAAGCACCAUUGGCGUUCUGUUUUUCAGAAGCACGACUCACAAGCUUGGUUGAAGCCCCUAGCUUUAGAGAUUGACCCACUAAAAGGGUAUCAGUUGGGUGAUCAAAACUC